rnacentral:rRNA from 1 species
UGUGUAGGUGGUUGUGUUAGUCAAUUGUUAAAACCUGGGGCUUAACCCCAGAUGUGCGAUUGAAACGGCACGACUAGAGGAUGGCAGGGAUGUAUGGAACUCAUGGAGUAGGGGUGAAAUCCGUUGAUAUCAUGGGGAACACCAAAAGCGAAGGCAGUACAUUGGGCCACUCCUGACACUGAAACACGAAAGCGUGGGUAGCGAAUG